UACGGAGGGGGCGAGCGUUAUUCGGAAUUAUUGGGCGUAAAGGGUGCGUAGGCGGCGCGGAAAGUUGGGUGUGAAAUCCCUCGGCUCAACCGAGGAACUGCGCCCAAAACUACCGUGCUCGAGGGAGAUAGAGGUGAGCGGAACUUAGGGUGGAGCGGUGAAAUGCGUUGAUAUCCUAAGGAACACCGGUGGCGAAAGCGGCUCACUGGAUCUCUUCUGACGCUGAGGCACGAAAGCUAGGGUAGCGAACGGG
rnacentral:rRNA from 1 species